rnacentral:tRNA from 1 species
GCCUUCGUAGCUCAGUUGGAAGAGCAAGUGGCUUCGAACCACUAGGUCGCGAGUUCAAGUCUUGCCGGGGGCGCCA